UACGAAGGGGGCUAGCGUUGUUCGGAAUUACUGGGCGUAAAGGGCGCGCAGGCGGCCCUUCAAGUCAGGCGUGAAAGCCCCGGGCUCAACCUGGGAACUGCGCUUGAGACUGGAGAGCUAGAGUUCGGGAGAGGAGAGUGGAAUUCCCAGUGUAGAGGUGAAAUUCGUAGAUAUUGGGAAGAACACCAGUGGCGAAGGCGGCUCUCUGGACCGAUACUGACGCUGAGGCGCGAAAGCGUGGGGAGCAAACAGG
rnacentral:rRNA from 1 species